rnacentral:rRNA from 1 species
AGUGAACGCUGGCGGUAGGCCUAACACAUGCAAGUCGAACGGCAGCACAGUAAGAGCUUGCUCUUACGGGUGGCGAGUGGCGGACGGGUGAGGAAUACAUCGGAAUCUACUUUUUCGUGGGGGAUAACGUAGGGAGACUUACGCUAAUACCGCAUACGACCUACGGGUGAAAGCAGUGGAUCGUCGGACCUUGCGCGAUUGAAUGAGCCGAUGUCGGAUUAGCUAGUUGGCGGGGUAAAGGCCCACCAAGGCGACGAUCCGUAGCUGGUCUGAGAGGAUGGUCAGCCACACUGGAACUGAGACACGGUCCAGACUCCUACGGGAGGCAGCAGUGGGGAAUAUUGGACAAUGGGCGCAAGCCUGAUCCAGCCAUACCGCGUGGGUGAAGAAGGCCUUCGGGUUGUAAAGCCCUUUUGUUGGGAAAGAAAAGCAGCAGGUUAAUACCCCGCUGUUCUGACGGUACCCAAAGAAUAAGCACCGGCUAACUUCGUG